AAGCCUCACUGAUACCUAUC
rnacentral:miRNA from 1 species